GAAGGCUUAAGUUAACCAAACUGUUGGCUUUCAAAGCCAAAAAUACUAAUUUAAGUAGCCUUCG
rnacentral:tRNA from 1 species